ACUGGGCACGGUGGGGCGUGCCUAUAGUCCCAGCUACUCGGGAGGCUGAGGUAGGAGGAUCGCUUGAGUUCAGGAGUUCUGGGCUGCAGAGUGCUAUGCUGAUCGGGUGUCCGUACUAAGUUCGGCAUCAAUAAGGUGACUGCCCGGGAGUGGGGGACCACCAGGUUUCCUAAGGCGGGGUGAACUGGCCCAGGUCAGAAACAGAGCAGGUCAAAACUCCUGUGCUGAUCAGUAGUGGGAUCACGCCUGUGAAGAGCCAUUGCACUCCAGCCUGGGCAACAUAGUAAGAUCCGUCUCUU
ensembl:misc_RNA Metazoa_SRP Metazoan signal recognition particle RNA